UACGUAGGGGGCAAGCGUUGUCCGGAAUCAUUGGGCGUAAAGAGCACGUAGGCGGCCCGGUAAGUCCGCUCUGAAAGUCAGAGGCUCAACCUCUGGAGGCGAGUGGAUACUGCCGGGCUAGAGUCCGGAAGAGGCGAGUGGAAUUCCUGGUGUAGCGGUGGAAUGCGCAGAUAUCAGGAGGAACACCAAUGGCGAAGGCAGCUCGCUGGGACGGUACUGACGCUGAGGUGCGAAAGCGUGGGGAGCGAACAGG
rnacentral:rRNA from 1 species